rnacentral:misc_RNA from 1 species
GAUGAAGAACGCAGUGAAAUGCGAUAACUAAUGUGAAUUGCAGAAUUCAGAGAAUCAUCGAGUCUUUGAACGCACAUUGCGCCCCCUGGUAUUCCGGGGGGCAUGCCUGUCCGAGCGUCAUUGCUGCCCUCAAGCACGGCUUGUGUGUUGGGCUCCGUCCCCCCGGGGACGGGCCCGAAAGGCAGCGGCGGCACCGAGUCCGGUCCUCGAGCGUAUGGGGCUUUGUCACCCGCUCUGUAGGCCCGGCCGGCGCCAGCCGACAACCCAUCAUCCUUUUCAGGUUGACCUCGGAUCAGGUAGGGAUACCCGCUGAACUUAAGCAUAUCAAUAAGCGGAGGA